GCAAGUUGAGCGCGAAAGGGGGGCAACUCCCGAGUAGAGCGGCGAACGGGUGAGUAACGCGUGGGUGAUCUACCUUCGAGUGGGGAAUAACACCGGGAAACUGGUGCUAAUACCGCAUGACAUCCCGGGAUCAAAUCUGGGAUCAAAGCCGGGGACCGCAAGGCCUGGCGCUUGAAGAGGAGCCCGCGUCCGAUUAGCUAGUUGGCGGGGUAACGGCCCACCAAGGCAACGAUCGGUAGCCGGCCUGAGAGGGCGGACGGCCACACUGGGACUGAGACACGGCCCAGACUCCUACGGGAGGCAGCAGUGGGGAAUUUUUCGCAAUGGGGGAAACCCUGACGAAGCAACGCCGCGUGGAGGAUGAAGGCCUUCGGGUCGUAAACUCCUGUCGACCGGGACGAAAGUGGUCCGACCUAAUACGUCGGGCUAUCGACUGUACCGGUGGAGGAAGCCACGGCUAACUCUGUGCCAGCAGCCGCGGUAAUACAGAGGUGGCAAGCGUUGUUCGGAAUUACUGGGCGUAAAGGGCGCGUAGGCGGUCUUGUAAGUCCCGCGUGAAAUCCCCCGGCUCAACUGGGGAACGGCGCGGGAGACUGCUUGGCUUGAGUUCGGGAGAGGGAAGCGGAAUUC
rnacentral:rRNA from 1 species